AGAGUUUGAUCCUGGCUCAGGACGAACGCUGCGGCGUCCUAAUACAUGAAGUUGAGCGAUGAAGAUUGUUGCUUGCACCAAUUUGAAGAGCAAGCGAACGGGUGAGUAACGCGUGGGGAAUCUGCCUUUGAGCGGGGGACAACAUUUGGAAACGAAUGCUAAUACCGCAUAAAAUCAACUUUAAACAAAAGUUUUUAAGUUGAAAGAUUGCAAUUGCAUCACUCAAAGAUGAUCCCGCGUUGUAUUAGCUAGUUUGGUGAGGUAAAGGCUCACCAAGGCGAUGAUACAUAGCCCCGACCUGAAGAGGGUGAUCGGCACAUUGGGACUGGAGACACGGCCCAAACUCCCUACCGGGGAGGCAGCAGUAGGGGAAUCAUUCGAGGCAAUGGACGAAAGUCUGACCGAGCAACGCCGCGUGAGUGAAGAAGGUUUUCGGAUCCGUAAAACUCUGUUGGAAUAGAGGAAGAACGUUGGUGAGAGUGGAAAGCUCAUCAAGUGGACGGGGUAACUACCCAGAAAGGGACGGCUAACUACGUGCCAGCAGCCGCGGUAAUACGUAGGUCCCGAGCGUUGUCCGGAUUUAUUGGCGUAAAGCGAGCGCAGGUGGUUUAUUAAGUCCUGGUGUAAAAGGCAGUGGCUCAACCAUUGUAUGCAUUGGAACUGUAGAGCUUGAGUGCAGGAGAGGAGAGUGGAAUUCCUGUGUAGCGGUGAAAAUGGAGAUAUAUGGAGGAAACACGGUGGGCGAAAGCGGCUCUCUGGCCUGGUAACUGACCUGAGGCUCGAAAGCGUGGGGAGCAAACAGGAUUACCGAUAACCCUGGUAGUCCACGCCGUAAACGAUGAGUGGCUAGAGUAGGGAAGCUAUAAGUUUCUCUGUUCGCACUAACGCAAUAAGCCACUCCGCUGGGGAGUAGACCGCAAGGUUGAAACUCAAAAGGAUUUGAGGGGGGCGCACAAGCGGUGGAAGCAUGUGGUUUAAAAUUGAAGCAACGCAGAAGAACCUUAUCCAGGUCUUGACAUAUACUUCGUGCUUUCCUGAAUAGGCAGUUCCUUCGGGACACGGGAUACAGGUGGUGCAUGGUUGUCGUCAGCUCGUGUCCGGUGAGAUGUUGGGCUUAAGUCCCGCAACGAGGCAACCCAUCCCUCUCAACAACAAAACGGAGGAGGAGGAAAAGAGAGAGAUGGGUUGCGCUCGUUGCGGGACUUAACCCAACAUCUCACCGACACGAGCUGACGACAACCAUGCACCACCUGUAUCCCCGUGUCCGAAGGAACUUCCUAUCUCUAGGAAUAGCACGAGUAUGUCAAGACCUGGUAAAGGUUUCUUCGAAAGUUGCUUCGAAUUAAACCAAUGCUCCACCGCUU
rnacentral:rRNA from 1 species